CUUCACUGAAUCUCUUAGUUUAUUCUCAGACAGAUUCAGUUCUCUCAGGUGUGAGGGGUUUGAUCUCAGAGCUGAAGUCAGAGCAGCACAACCUUCAUCUGUGACACCACAAUAACUCAACCUCAGUGUCUCCAGUUUACAGCGAGGAUCCUGUAGUACAUCAGAAAGCAGCUUCACUGAAUCUCUUAGUUUAUUCUCAGACAGAUCCAGUUGUCUCAGGUGUGAGGGGUUUGAUCUCAGAGCUGAAGUCAGAGCAGAAC